GUGCUCACUUCAGCAGCACAUACACUAAAAUUGGAAUGCUUCAGGGAAGAUUAGCAUGGCCCCUGUGCGAGGAUGCAUGCAAAUUCGUGAAGUGUAAAUAUGCUUA
ensembl:snRNA U6 U6 spliceosomal RNA